rnacentral:rRNA from 1 species
AUGCACGACCCACGUCUUCCGCAUAUGAAUCAUGUCAAACGUAUUAUGCGUUACCUCAAAGGCACUCUUGAUCAUGGCCUCUCCUUCACCCCUUCCUCUCCAACUACUCUCACAGCGUACUCAGAUGCAGAUUGGGCAGGAUGCCCGGACACUUGUCGGUCCACUUCGGGUUACUGUGUGUACCUGGGUGAUAAUAUGAUUUCAUGGUCUUCGAAGCGGCAGGCUGCCGUUUCCAGGUCGUCCGUGGAGGCCGAAUAUCGCUCAGUUGCUCAUGCUGUCGCAGAGAUGGUGUGGUUGCGCCAACUCCUAAGUGAGCUUCAUCGUCCUCUUCAUCAGGCCACUAUUGUGUAUUGUGACAACAUCUCUGCCGUCUACAUGUCCUGCAACCCCGUUCAGCAUCGACGAACCAAGCACAUCGAGAUCGACAUAAACUUCGUUCGCGAGAAGCUGGCUUUGGGCGACGUUCGAGUUCUUCACGUCCCUACAAGUGCCCAGUUUGCUGACAUCUUCACCAAAGGCCUGCCGGCGACGCCAUUCUUCGAUAUUCGUGCCAGUCUCAACGUCGUCGAGCCCGCCGCUGACACUGCGGGGGGGGGGGGUGUUAGUCAGUAG